AUGCAAGUCCAAAAAACAUUUGUCUCAGCAUAUUUGUGGUACAAUAAAAAGCAACAAAACAUCAUAGCUCAGCAAAAUCAAGGACAAAAUCAAGCUACUGCAGUAACAGAUUCUCACAGAAAAUCAACAAGUGCAAACAAAAUCAUGAAUUCAAGCUCAAUAAAAAGAAUUGUUACCAAAUCAAAAAAUAUCACUGAAAAGGAGCUAUCAAGCAUACGAAAUCCUAACAGGUCAUCAUCAUCUUCCUGCUCAAAGUCCCUUCAGAAUACAGAGAAAGAGAAGAGGAAAAGAAGCUUUCAAAAAGUUAGAAUAAGAAAGAUUUUACUGGGAAGAGCCUCAUCCAUUGGUGUUAUGUCGCGAGCUUGA